rnacentral:rRNA from 1 species
CAGUCGCCGCGGGAAUACGAAGGGUGCAAGCGUUAAUCGGAAUUACUGGGCGUAAAGCGUGCGCAGGCGGUUCGUUAAGACAGAUGUGAAAUCCCCGGGCUUAACCUGGGAACUGCAUUUGUGACUGGCGAGCUAGAGUAUGGCAGAGGGGGGUAGAAUUCCACGUGUAGCAGUGAAAUGCGUAGAGAUGUGAAGGAAUACCGAUGGCGAAGGCAGCCCCCUGGGCCAAUACUGACGCUCAUGCACGAAAGCGUGGGGAGCAAACAGGAUUAGAUACCCCUGUAGUCCCUGUCUCUUAUAC